rnacentral:rRNA from 1 species
UACGUAGGGGGCGAGCGUUAUCCGGAUUCAUUGGGCGUAAAGGGCGCGUAGGCGGCGGCCAGCAGUGGCCCGUGGAAUCUCCCCGCUCACCGGGGAGGGGCCGGGCCAGACGGGGCCGCUUGGGGCAGGUAGAGGAUCGCGGAACGGGCGGAGUAGGGGUGAAAUCCGUAGAGACCGUCCGGAACACCGGUGGCGAAGGCGGCGAUCUGGACCUGAACACUCCCGCAAGGGAGCCCGACGCUGAGGCGCGAAAGCGUGGGGAGCGAACGGA